GAGCAAAGAGGGAGGGCAAGCUGGAUUUUCGGGCCAUCUCAUUUCUUGCUCGCCUUUUUAGCCCCCUUGACCCCCUCGAGAAAAGGAUGCGUCCUCCAAUUUGUCUGUCUUUGCUGAGCUGUUUGCCCGGCGCCAACCCUCCCCCGCCCGCGCCGGUUCGCCUCUUCUGCCUGGAGACUGGCGCUUAGAACCUAACCUAGCGGAGGCAGCCGCCAGCAUACAGCCAACUGCACACGCACUCAGACUCCCCACCCCCACGACGGAUCCCCAAGUCCACACACACCACGGCAGACAGAUCUACAAGCACAACGACAGUCCAUCGCAGGCAGACACGACGGUACCCAAGCAUGCACAGCCAUAUUGGACAGCCCAACACCGACUCGGGAUGCAACACACACACUCCCACUCCCACACUCCCUCUCUUCAGAAACAGAUUUAGACCCUCUAUGAGAAAACAAAAUAAACAAGAUGCAAACACU